AGACAGUUAUUGCAGCAUUCUGCAUAUCAACAAUUGCAGAAGGAAAUAAUCUUAUGGGGGGGGCAGGAAUCACAGAAUCAUAAAUCAACAGCAAUGUUUUAGAAAUCCAAGUCUACCAGUUUCUACAAUGCCCACAGAAACAAAUCUGGUACCAAUGUCUUCUCAGUGACCUACAGAAAAUGAUUAAAGGAAGAGUUGUCUUUUAUUAGUCGGCUAAAACACACUAUUGGCAAGCGGCUUUCCGAGAAAAUGCAGCAUAAAUUAUGGAAUGUUCUUUUAUUUGCCUUCAAGUAAAGAAUUGAACGGAG